AAAUUGAAGAGUUUGAUCAUGGCUCAGAUUGAACGCUGGCGGCAGGCCUAACACAUGCAAGUCGAGCGGUAACAGGAAUUAGCUUGCUAAUUUGCUGACGAGCGGCGGACGGGUGAGUAAUGCCUGGGAAUAUGCCUUGAUGUGGGGGAUAACUAUUGGAAACGAUAGCUAAUACCGCAUAAUG
rnacentral:rRNA from 1 species